rnacentral:pre_miRNA from 1 species
GGUCGUAUGUGUGGUGCCAUUCACUUGAACCUUUAGGGGUGACAUCACAUAUACGGUGGC